rnacentral:ncRNA from 1 species
CGGAGACCGAUAAGUGAACAACUGCAGACGGGAACUUAAGAGAAACCGGAAGGAGAGCCCUCAGGGUGAAAGCGUUUUAAAGAGUAUACGAUAAAAAAUAGCUUUAAAACCCACCAAGGAUGAAGAGAUAGCAUCCAAGGAGCUAAAGAGAAUCUCACUUUAGACACCUGGGGAACUCGAACUAAGAGA